rnacentral:rRNA from 1 species
UACAGAGGUCCCAAGCGUUGUUCGGAUUCACUGGGCGUAAAGGGUGCGUAGGUGGUCGGGUAAGUCUGAUGUGAAAGCUCUGGGCUCAACCCAGAAAUGGCAUUGGAUACUAUCUGGCUAGAGGAAUGGAGGGGGGGGGGGACUGGAAUACUUGGUGUAGCAGUGAAAUGCGUAGAUAUCAAGUGGAACACCAGUGGCGAAGGCGAGUCCCUGGACAUUUCCUGACACUGAGGCACGAAAGCUAGGGGAGCAAACAGG